rnacentral:rRNA from 1 species
UACAGAGGUCCCGAGCGUUAGGCGGAAUCACUGGGCUUAAAGCGUGUGUAGGUGGAUCGGUAAGUACCUUGUGAAAUCCCACAGCUUAACUGUGGAACUGCUUGGUAUACUGCCAGUCUUGAGCCAGCUAGGGGCUACCGGAACAAAUGGUGGAGCGGUGAAAUGCGUAGAUAUCAUUUGGAACGCCAAUGGUGAAAACAGGUUGCUGGGAGUGCGCUGACGCUGAGACACGAAAGCCAGGGGAGCAAACGGG